GUGAAUCAUCGAAUCUUUGAACGCAAAUUGCACUCCCUUCGGUGAGUAUGCCUGUUUGAGGGCCAGCCUCAAAAAAAUCGCCAUAGUCGCUGUUUCGCGGUGACAUUCGCCGGCACUUGGGUCAUCUUAAACCUUUGGGUUUUAAGCGGCUUAUAAUUUUCUUUACGAUUCUACGAACGUUUCUAAGCUUUACUUACACGUUUAAGGUAUCGAUUUUUAUUAGAAGUGGCCGUUGCAUCGGAUAACGACACUCAAUAUUUCGUUAACUGAC
rnacentral:misc_RNA from 1 species